rnacentral:lncRNA from 1 species
AACAGCUUCAGUGUACAGCGUGGCUCCUUUGAGAAAAUUUUAUUCACAGUUAGUACAAUCGUCUCUCCUGUGUGUGCCUAUGUGUGUUAGGAGUGGUUUGAGUAUUCUCAAUGUGAAGGGGAAAUGUGCGAGCAUCCUAGGAUCAGGCAUUGUGAAGACAAGCUUUGUUCUUUAUGCAGGUAGACAUACUGUACGUCAACACACUAUGUUCUUAAGAAACACUCAUGGAAGAUAAGACUUUGUUUUCUUACUUGAAAGAAGGCACUGCUUAACACAUGUAAGUAUCAUGUUUUCCAAUCCUAGUUCAGCUCUAUUCCUCAUAGACUGUUUUCUUAAAAUUAUAUCU